rnacentral:tRNA from 1 species
GGGGAUGUGGCUCAGUCAGUAGAGUGCUUGCCUCACAUGCACGAGGCCCUGGAUUCAAUCCCCAGCACCACUC